rnacentral:rRNA from 1 species
GCCUGAUGGAGGGGGAUAACUACUGGAAACGGUAGCUAAUACCGCAUAACGUCGCAAGACCAAAGAGGGGGACCUUCGGGCCUCUUGCCAUCAGAUGUGCCCAGAUGGGAUUAGCUAGUAGGUGGGGUAACGGCUCACCUAGGCGACGAUCCCUAGCUGGUCUGAGAGGAUGACCAGCCACACUGGAACUGAGACACGGUCCAGACUCCUACGGGAGGCAGCAGUGGGGAAUAUUGCACAAUGGGCGCAAGCCUGAUGCAGCCAUGCCGCGUGUAUGAAGAAGGCCUUCGGGUUGUAAAGUACUUUCAGCGGGGAGGAAGGGAGUAAAGUUAAUACCUUUGCUCAUUGACGUUACCCGCAGAAGAAGCACCGGCUAACUCCGUGCCAGCAGCCGCGGUAAUACGGAGGGUGCAAGCGUUAACCGGAAUUACUGGGCGUAAAGCGCACGCAGGCGGUUUGUUAAGUCAGAUGUGAAAUCCCCGGGCUCAACCUGGGAACUGCAUCUGAUACUGGCAAGCUUGAGUCUCGUAGAGGGGG